rnacentral:rRNA from 1 species
CCUACGGAGGCUGCAGUGGGGAAUAUUGGACCAUGGGCGAAAGCCUGGUCCAGCCAUGCCGCGUGUGUGAAGAAGGGCUUCGGGUUGUAAAGCACUUUCAGUGGGGAAGAAAGCCUUGGGGCUAAUACCCUCGAGGAAGGACAUCACCCACAGAAGAAGCGCCGGCGAACUCCGUGCCAGCAGCCGCGGUAAUACGGAGGGUGCGAGCGUUAAUCGGAAUUACUGGGCGUAAAGCGCGCGUAGGCGGUCUGAUAAGCCGGUUGUGAAAGCCCCGGGCUCAACCUGGGAACGGCAUCCGGAACUGUCAGGCUAGAGUGCAGGAGAGGAAGGUAGAAUUCCCGGUGUAGCGGUGAAAUGCGUAGAGAUCGGGAGGAAUACCAGUGGCGAAGGCGGCCUUCUGGACUGACACUGACGCUGAGGUGCGAAAGCGUGGGUAGCAAACAGGAUUAGAUACCCCAGUAGUC